rnacentral:rRNA from 1 species
AUUAGAUACCCGGGUAGUCCAGGGUGUAAACGCUGCAGACUUGGUGUUGGGAACCCUUCGGGGGUGCUCAGUGCCGGAGAGAAGUUGUUAAGUCUGCUACUUGGGGAGUACGUCCGCAAGGAUGAAACUUAAAGGAAUUGGCGGGGGAGCACAACAACGGGUGGAGCCUGCGGUUUAAUUGGACUCAACGCCGGACAACUCACCGGGGACGACAGCAAUAUGUAGGCCAGGCUGAAGACCUUGCCUGAAUCGCUG